AAGCAAACCAAAACAUAAAUACAAAUAAAGAUCCCUCCCAGAACCUGGAAGUCACUAGUACAGAGCUACUAACAAAAUGAGUACAAGUCCCAAAAGUGGACAACAGAGACUGGACUGUCUCGAAAGGUAAAAGACAAGUUUAUAUAUACAGAUGGAGACUGAAAUAGUACAAAACGUCGUGUGCUCACUCCCGUCUCCGGAUCAGUCUGCUCCAAGCUCGAUCAACGCUGGCUACUAGUGCCCGGACCUGCAUCACGAAAUAGAUGCAGAGCGUAGCAUGAGUACCAAAACAACCGGUACCCAGUAGGCAUCAUAGGCCGACUGAACUUGAAAAGUAAAGGCAAUAUGAAAAGAAGGAAUACGCAAAUUGAGGUCAAGAACAAAAAUCUAACUAACAAAGAAAUGUUAACGAGUGUACAAAGAACUAACUAAAGUAAUCUAUAAGCUAACUACACCUAACUGGGCCCCCAUAAGCCCAGAAGGUACACUUGUGCGCAAGUUAAAUAAAAACCCGAACGGACCCCCAUAAGCCCGACGAGUACACAAAAUAACUAUAACUAAAGAGAAUUGCAUAUACGAACCCAAGAACGAAGAACAUCGAACCAGAACCUCAACCCUAAUUAGUAGAAUCUCACAGUACGGAGGCCGGACCUCGAAUCGAAUGCUCACAAGAAAUACCCAAGUAACCAAUCACAAGUAACAAGUAUAAGAGGCCGGAACUCUAACCGGAUGCUCUAUAUAAGUAUUUGGGCAAUAGAGGCCGGAACUCUAACCGGAUGCUCUAUAAAGGUGCCACUGUAGCUGCUGAAAGAGUCCCAAUCGAUCUAUUCUCAUAAAUGUCCGUGGAUCCGUCCACACCUAGCCGAUCAAUGAAAGUCCGUGGAACCGAAUCGAAAAUCAAAUUCAAAUCGCAAAGCAGAACUAGUGUCGCCGACGUAACUCUUGAAGAUGUAACAUCGGGGAAAUAAUGAUAACUAUCAUCGGAGCAAACAUAUCGCCUAGCUAAGGCCCAAACUAUCAGGCUCAAGUCUGCUACACCAGUCUACAGGGAUCUAAGCCGGCCGAGCGGCGUCGGGGCAAAACUAAGGCCUAACGAAUCUGAAUCAUGUAUUUCUAAGGCAAGCCCUAGUCAAACCUAAACUAAGGCCCAAAUGCUUCAACAAAUAGUCAUCGAGCAUACAAGUACUCCACAAAGUAAAGAGGGACAAUUAAUAACACAAAGCAUGCUCACAGUUACCCGAUAAUUCCCGAAAUAGGCCGAAAACAUGAUUUCUAAACACCUAUGCAUGAUUCAAUCACUACCAACCCAAAUCCCAACUAAUCAACAUGCAUUCACACUCUCAAGCUCAAUCUAAGAGAGGAAACCAUAGCCUACUUGUAAGCCGAUCACACGCG
rnacentral:lncRNA from 1 species